rnacentral:rRNA from 1 species
CCUACGGGUGGCAGCAGUGGGGAAUAUUGCACAAUGGGCGAAAGCCUGAUGCAGCAACGCAGCGUGAGCGAUGAAGGCCUUCGGGUCGUAAAGCUCUGUCCUCAAGGAAGAAAAUGACGGUACUUGAGGAGGAAGCCCCGGCCAACUUCGUGCCAGCAGCCGCGGUAAUACGUAGGGGGCGAGCGUUAUCCGGAAUUACUGGGCGUAAAGGGUGCGUAGGUGGUUUCUUAAGUCAGAGGUGAAAGGCUACGGCUCAACCGUAGUAAGCCUUUGAAACUGGGGAACUGGAGUGCAGGAGAGGCAGGUGGAAUUCGUGGUGUAGCGGUGAAAUGCGUAGAUAUUAGGAGGAACACCAGUGGCGAAGGCGGCUCUCUGGACUGUGACUGACGCUGAGGCACGAAAGCGUGGGGAGCAAACAGGAUUAGAUACCCUAGUAGUC